rnacentral:rRNA from 1 species
CAGUAGCCACGGUAAUACCGAGGAUGCAAGCGUUAUCCAGAAUGAUUGGGUGUAAAGCGUCUGUAGGUGGCUUUUCAAGUCCGCCGUCAAAUCCCAGGGCUAAACCCUGGACAGGCGAUGGAAACUACCAAGCUGGAGUAUGGUAGGGGCAGAGGAAAUUUCCGGUGGAGAGGUGAAAUGCGUUGAGAUCAGAAAGACACCAACGGCGAAAGCACUCUGCUGGGCCGACACUGACACUAAGAGAUGAAAGCCUGGGGAGAAAAUGGGAUUAGAUACCCCAGUAGUCCCUGUCUCUUAUACA